CGGCGGGAAGGGGGCGCACGACGAAUUAAAGAGCGCAUGGAGGCGGAAGGGAGGAGCAUGGAGUUUCGAAAUACAAGAGUGGUACUUCCGGUGAAAGACACGGCGAUUCUCUAGGGUUUAUAGUAGUUAUUUUGAAUUUGCGCUUUUCAGAUUAGAGUUGCCUGUGUGAGCUGGUGAGAUCGCGAAAGGUUGUUCCCUGCAACAGCUGGUGAGGAAUCAGGGUUUCAGUCUUUUUCUAGCUGAGGAUUGAACUUGGGACCUUCUACACAUGAAGCAUCUGCUCGAUUACUGAGCUGUGGCCCUUCUCCUUAAAAUAAAGUACAGUUCUAGUUCAUGUGGUCUUGAACAAAGAACAAGUUUAAAUAAGAAA